CCUACGGGAGGCAGCAGUGAGGAAUAUUGGUCAAUGGCCGCAAGCCUGAACCAGCCAAGUAGCGUGAAGGAUGACUGCCCUACGGGUUGUAAACUUCUUUUGUAAAGGGAUAAAGUGAGGCACGUGUGCCUUUUUGUGUGUACUUUAUGAAUAAGGAUCGGCUAACUCCGUGCCAGCAGCCGCGGUAAUACGGAGGAUCCGAGCGUUAUCCGGGUUUAUUGGGUUUAAAGGGGGCGGUGAUGGGUUGUUAAGUCAGGUGGUAAAGUUUGGGGCUGAACCGUCAAAGUGCAAUUGAUACUGGCAGUCUUGAGAUGAGGUGAGGUAGGCGGAAUUCGCAGUGUAGCGGUGAAAUGCUUAGAUAUUACGAAGAACUCCGAUUGCGAAGGCAGCAUACUAAACGGGAACUGACACUGAGGCUCGAAAGUGUGGGUAUCAAACAGGAUUAGAUACCCUAGUAGUC
rnacentral:rRNA from 1 species